CCCUUAGAUGUUCUGGGCCGCACGCGCGCUACACUGACGAUGGCAACGAGUUUUUCCUUCGCCGAAAGGUGUGGGUAAUCUUUUGAAACAUCGUCGUGCUGGGGAUAGAUCAUUGCAAUUUUUGAUCUUGAACGAGGAAUUCCUAGUAAGCGCGAGUCAUCAGCUCGCGUUGAUUACGUCCCUGCCCUUUGUACACACCGCCCGUCGCUACUACCGAUUGAAUGGUUUAGUGAGGACUCCUGAUUGGCGCCGCCGCCCCGGCAACGGAGCAGCGGACUGCCGAAAAGUUGUUCAAACUUGAGCAUUUAGAGGAAGUAAAAGUCGUAACA
rnacentral:rRNA from 1 species